UACGGAAGGCAGCAGCGGGGAAUAUUGCACAAUGGGCGCAAGCCUGAUGCAGCCAUGCCGCGUGUAUGAAGAAGGCCUUCGGGUUGUAAAGUACUUUCAGUCGUGAGGAAGGUGUUAAGGUUAAUAACCUUAGCAAUUGACGUUAGCGACAGAAGAAGCACCGGCUAACUCCGUGCCAGCAGCCGCGGUAAUACGGAGGGUGCGAGCGUUAAUCGGAAUUACUGGGCGUAAAGGGCACGCAGGCGGUUAAUUAAGUUGGAUGUGAAAUCCCCGGGCUUAACCUGGGAAUGGCAUUCAAGACUGGUUAGCUAGAGUCUUGUAGAGGGGGUAGAAUUCCAUGUGUAGCGGUGAAAUGCGUAGAGAUGUGGAGGAAUACCGGUGGCGAAGGCGGCCCCUGGACAAAGACUGACGCUCAUGUGCGAAAGCGUGGGGAGCAAACAGGGAUUAGAUACC
rnacentral:rRNA from 1 species